AACAGGCUACAGAUCAAGGACAAGUGCAAUAGAAGUGAGGAAAGGAGGAGAAGAAGGGAAAAGAAAACUCCCCUGAUCAUGGUGGCAGUUGCCAAUUUUGGACUUUCAGGGAGAUCUCUUCCACCACAGGAUUCAACAAGGAAGUCUUGAAGAGAAACUGCUUCAUCCUCCAGAUUUGAUCAAGAAAGGAGAUGUCCUCUACAGCUGGAUCUAAGAAACAGUGACUGUUGAUAAGCAGGUUCAGUUGGUGCCUAUUAAUCUUCAAACUCUCGUGUAUACUGGCACCCUUGUCUUCCACCGUGGGUGUGUGUUGAUCAAAUGCAUGUGUACCUCCUGCAACAUGGUUAGUACAUUGUGGCUUCACAGAAAUAACAUGCAAGGGUAUAUCACCCAAUCUCAGUGUAAGAGGGUGAACCUAAGCUAUACCCUCAGAACAUGAAUCAAUUUCAGAAAUAGAAACAAUAUCA
rnacentral:lncRNA from 1 species